GGAACGCUGUAUUUUACAUUUGUUAAUAGAUGGCAUGCAAGGAAUUAUUCUCCAUGGAACUGAGAUUCUCUUGGCAGCUUGCCCAGGCCCUAGAUCUCUGAUUGUGUCCAAUAUGGAACUUCUUGAAGUAGGGCAACCCUAAAUCAAAAAAAAAAAAACAACUUUGUAUUUACACAACAAGAUCUCAGUCUUGAAAUCCAUUCAGGUGUGAGGGGUUGAUUUUGUCUGGAUGCCAGGUGUCAACCAAGCUACUCUAUCACUUCCCCUUCUCCUAUGGACAGGAGAGAGAAAAUAAGAUAGAAAACAACUCAAAAAAAAAAA